rnacentral:rRNA from 1 species
GACGAACGCUGGCGGCGUGCUUAACACAUGCAAGUCGAACGGUAAGGCCCUUCGGGUACGACGAGUGGCGAACGGGUGAGUAACACGUGGUGAUCUGCCCUGCACUUCAGGAUAAGCCUGGGAAACUGGGUCUAAUACCGGAUAGGACCAUGGACUUCACGGUUUGUGGUGGAAAGCUUUUGCGGUGUGGGAUGGGCCCGCGGCCUAUCAGCUUGUUGGUGGGGUAAUGGCCUACCAAGGCGACGACGGGUAGCCGGCCUGAGAGGGUGUCCGGCCACACUGGGACUGAGAUACGGCCCAGACUCCUACGGGAGGCAGCAGUGGGGAAUAUUGCACAAUGGGCGCAAGCCUGAUGCAGCGACGCCGCGUGAGGGAUGACGGCCUCGGUUGU